GCGGUCUGUCAAGUCGGAUGUGAAAUCCCCGGGCUCAACCUGGGAACUGCAUUCGAAACUGGCAGGCUUGAGUCUUGUAGAGGGGGGUAGAAUUCCAGGUGUAGCGGUGAAAUGCGUAGAGAUCUGGAGGAAUACCGGUGGCGAAGGCGGCCCCCUGGACAAAGACUGACGCUCAGGUGCGAAAGCGUGGGGAGCAAACAGGAUUAGAUACCCUGGUAGUCCACGCCGUAAACGAUGUCUACUUGGAGGUUGUGCCCUUGAGGCGUGGCUUCCGGAGCUAACGCGUUAAGUAGACCGCCUGGGGAGUACGGCCGCAAGGUUAAAACUCAAAUGAAUUGACGGGGGCCCGCACAAGCGGUGGAGCAUGUGGUUUAAUUCGAUGCAACGCGAAGAACCUUAC
rnacentral:rRNA from 1 species